rnacentral:rRNA from 1 species
UACGUAGGGGGCAAGCGUUGUCCGGAAUCAUUGGGCGUAAAGCGCGCGUAGGCGGCCCGGUAAGUCCGCUGUAAAAGUCCAGGGCUCAACCCUGGAAAGCCGGUGGAUACUGUCGGGCUAGAGUCCGGAAGAGGCGAGUGGAAUUCCUGGUGUAGCGGUGGAAUGCGCAGAUAUCAGGAGGAACACCAGCGGCGAAGGCGGCGCUCUGGGCUGGAACUGACGCUGAGGAGCGAAAGCGUGGGGAGCGAACAGG